CCUACGGGUGGCAGCAGUGAGGAAUAUUGGUCAAUGGACGGAAGUCUGAACCAGCCAUGCCGCGUGCAGGAUGACUGCCCUAUGGGUUGUAAACUUCUUUUAUAUGGGAAUAAAACGUUCCACGUGUGGGAUUUUGUAUGUACCAUAUGAAUAAGGAUCGGCUAACUCCGGGCCAGCAGCCGCGGUAAUACGGAGGAUCCGAGCGUUAUCCGGAUUUAUUGGGUUUAAAGGGGGCGUAGGUGGAUUGUUAAGUCAGUUGUGAAUGUUUGCGGCUCAACCGUAAAAUUGCAGUUGAAACUGGCAGUCUUGAGUGCAGAAGAGGUGGGAGGAAUUCGUGGUGUAGCGGUGAAAUGCUUAGAUAUCACGAAGAACUCCGAUUGCGAAGGCAGUUCACUGGACUGCAACUGACACUGAGGCUCGAAAGUGUGGGUAUCAAACAGGAUUAGAUACCCGGGUAGUC
rnacentral:rRNA from 1 species